GGGACAGUUCGCAGUGACCAAACGGGGUCGAAACUGAAAUGUUAAAAUUUCAGUGGACUUGUUAAGGAAAACCGAGUAUGCCUGUCGAAUUUGAGCUCAAUUGGACUGUCGGAAGGGCUCCAAUUAAAUGUAUCAGACUAGAAUUGGAUUGAAGUGAUAAGAUCGAUGACUUAUGGACCUAAAGGCAAUUGUUACAUGCUUAGUGGAUUUCCACUAACCGGCCAGGGGAAUCUCCUCCAUGCUUAUCCUCCUUUUCAUCCUCCUGUACGUAGAGAGAGAAGGAGAAAAGAAGUGAAAAGGGGAAAAAGAGAGAAGUAAUGGAUUUGGUGCCGUUUGACGAGCCGAUCGAAACGCCGCGCACCUAAUUUUUAGUGCUUCGACACUCGGGAUUGAGGCCCCAGCUUGAAAUUAAUCGCGUGGAAACCUAAUUGAGGGUAAAACAAACGCGUUGGCGAAGUCGGUUCGGCAAUCCGUCGAGCCUACGUGAAGAUAUUGCCAAAAGAACAUUCUCGGCGACAAGUGUCGGGAGCGCGGGUCGCGAUUCGUGGAAAAGUGCGAGAAGUGGAUUUCUCUCAUUCCAGUACCAAAUAAAGGUUGCACGCGAGCGGCGCGGCGGCGCGAGGACAGGGCGUAGCUCCGUAGAUAGCGCCCCACCACUGAGACCGAGAUAGCAAUACCCUGAUGUGAUCGAGCUCAUAGAGUAUAAGAUGAAGAAACAAAUUUGUAGUAAAUUGUAUAAGUUUUGUAAUAACUUAAAGGUAUUUGUAAUAGUGUAAAUGUAAAAUUCUGAGAUGAAUGCUUGUAAUAGCAUAGCU